CGAUGCAACGCGAAAAACCUUACCCACCUUUGACAUGUACGGAAUCCUUUAGAGAUAGAGGAGUGCUCGAAAGAGAGCCGUAACACAGGUGCUGCAUGGCUGUCGUCAGCUCGUGUCGUGAGAUGUUGGGUUAAGUCCCGCAACGAGCGCAACCCUUGUCAUUAGUUGCUACAUUUAGUUGGGCACUCUAAUGAGACUGCCGGUGAUAAACCGGAGGAAGGUGGGGAUGACGUCAAGUCCUCAUGGCCCUUAUAGGUGGGGCUACACACGUCAUACAAUGGCUGGUACAAAGGGUUGCCAACCCGCGAGGGGGAGCUAAUCCCAUAAAACCAGUCGUAGUCCGGAUCGCAGUCUGCAACUCGACUGCGUGAAGUCGGAAUCGCUAGUAAUCGUGGAUCAGAAUGUCACGGUGAAUACGUUCCCGGGUCUUGUACACACCGCCCGUCACACCAUGGGAGCGGGUUCUGCCAGAAGUAGUUAGCCUAACCGUAAGGAGGGCGAUUACCACGGCAGGGUUCGUGACUGGGGUGAAGUCGUAACAAGGUAGCCGUAUCGGAAGG
rnacentral:rRNA from 1 species